rnacentral:rRNA from 1 species
UACGUAGGGUGCGAGCGUUAAUCGGAAUUACUGGGCGUAAAGCGUGCGCAGGCGGUUGUGCAAGACCGAUGUGAAAUCCCCGGGCUUAACCUGGGAAUGGCAUUGGUGACUGCACGGCUAGAGUGUGUCAGAGGGGGGUAGAAUUCCACGUGUAGCAGUGAAAAUGCGUAGAGAUGUGGAGGAAUACCGAUGGCGAAGGCAGCCCCCUGGGAUAACACUGACGCUCAUGCACGAAAGCGUGGGGAGCAAACAGG